GAGGGGUGCAGUGCUUACCUCAGGCAUCUCCCAAAAGCGACCUGCAUCCCCUCUGGCAGCAGCUUCUAGGUGGAAGAACUGAGGGAAUCUUUGUGCACCUCUACUCACAGACACCAGCCCCACAGCUUCCAUUGCCGCAGUUGGCAGAGUUGGCACUCGGGGUGGGGGCAGCUCUUGGAGACCCCCCCUGGCCCCAAGGCCCACAGGGACAUGACAGCCACCUCCGGGAGCAGCACGCCAUGCGGAGUACUGGAGUCUCAUCACUGAAAAGCCACAUCUUGAGUUAGGUUUGAACCAGCAGCCUUUCAAUUACCUGGCAAAGGUGAGAACCACAGAGCCUGAUAACUGCCUGCUUCCCAACAUUGUCUAAGAUGCACCUGCAGGGUGCAAACUGGUUAGUGCAAAGGGGAAUAUUGCUGGGGUUAGGAGUUCAGGCCUUAGCUGGAGCACUGGUUUCUGUUAUCCAUGUACCUUUCCCCAACUUGCUUUGCCUUAUUCACAUGGAAAGUGCCAUACCGGAGUAAUGAGAGUAAGUUCUAAAAUGUGAAGGUUGGUGCAUAGCUUGGGACUCCCCCCCGCCCCCCCGUGCCACCAUUAGCUCCGGGUGCAUUGUUCACUGGCAGGAAGGAUUGAUUCAUUUGCUACUGAGGAAGCUGCCAGGACAGGUCUCUGGGACCAGAUCUCCCCAAUUCUUCCAGCACAUGCCAGGCUGCCUCCCUGCCCCAGUCACUGCUGCAGGAGGGUCCUGUAUGCAGUGAGCCUAAAGCCUUUCCAAGCCUUCUUAGUGCAGUUGGCAGCGCGUCAGUCUCAUCAUCUGACGGUCCUGAGUUCAAGCCUCAGACAGAGCAAAUGUUUUUGCUCCCCUGCUUCAGAUGUUCUAAAGGAAAUCAGAGAAAAGAGAGCAGAGUGAUUUCUAGACACCCUCCUAUCCAGCCCCCCCCAAACACUUUUCAAAGGCAUGAAAUUUUCCUUCUCCUUUAUUACUCUAAUGUAGCUGGAAAUACCAAUUCCUAGAGACCCCUUCCCACAGGUCACACAACCGUAGUGCAGAAAGCUGGGGGUUGCCAGGUUGUUGUGGGCAUGUAGUGAAAGGGAUGCACAAAAAAUCCACUAGGGCCAUUGCCCCCCUUGCUCACCACCAAGCAGCUUUGACUCUUGAUGACUGUGAUGCUGAGACUCCACUGCCUCAGCAUCCUCAACCUCCACUGGAGGCCAGUUCCUUAGACCUCUGUUCAUAUUCCAGACCCCAGCCGGUCACCUUCUGCCCCAGGUGAACCAGCUGGUGGGCUGCAUCCACAGGUAGGCAGCUUAUACUGCUCCCCUCAGAGCAGCAGCUGCAGCUGUUGGCAGCUAAUCCCCGCCUAAGGCUUGGGGGAAGAAGCUGGGGAUCACAUUUUAUUUCUUCCACACAUCGAGUCUCACUGUGUUUGAACGUAUUUCUCUCUAAACCUGAUUUUAAUUCAGAGCCUCUCCCCCCAUUUCUGCUUUAUGCCUCAUUUCUGUACAGAUGUGAACACAAAGAAACUUUUGGUGACCACUUGCAGCUACUUCCCUAAAGAUUUUUUAAUUUAAUGAUUGCUGCCUCCUACCCCCAUUAAGAACAGCUGAUUUUAUGUCCAGGCGCUUCAUCAUCCUCCAUAACCAUGUCAUCAAAACCACCUGGAUGACUGCUUGACACUCCUGACACUACACAUGCCUCCUCUUUCAUGUGUGUGACAUCCAUGUGGCUGUUGUAAGAUACAUUUCCUCCCAUCUCUAAGGUUUUCACAUUGUCAUCCAGAGUAGUUUCCUUUUCUGUAUUUCUCUGUGAGAUAUCUUCCUCAUGUAAUUUUGGAGGCUCUUUAAAUACUUUUAGUUGGGAGAUACUGUACAACCUUGCUAAAGCUUUCCCUGACUUGUUUUCUAAUUUAACUCUUUUGCCCUCUUGUGAUGUUAUUGACUUGAACUGGGACCGUGCAGAACAUUGUUGCACCCAAGGUCCUGUAGUGGCACCAAAUCUUGCAUAAAUGGGGUCAAAUAAGGUGUCUAAGUCAAGGUUAU